ensembl:lncRNA
GGAACACCGGUGGUUUGGAGUCAACAAAACGGACUAGCAGCCAGUACAGAGGGAUAUUUACGAUGACGACAACCUUCGUCUCCGUUGGCAAAGAGACACCGAGACUACACGUUAAAAAAUAAAACAAGACAUUAGAAGACCUCAUCUUAGACUCUGGGAAACUGGGACGGACGUCUCCACUGCUGUCUUGCAUUUAGGAGACUGACUGGUCCAGCAGUAGAAGAGUGGGAUUUUCAUCAUCACAGCGACUUGGGGGCCAUCAAAGUGCCUGUGAUCUCACAUCUCAUGCAUUUGCAUCCCGCAGCAGAAAAUCUUCUCUCCCCGUGAGUCCAAGUGAAUGAGAAUGGAGUGUUU